AUCAAAACAGCUCGAGCUCACGGAGAGAAACGGGAGAGCAAGCCGUCUCUUCUCGUUUGGUACGCCCGAACCUCACGCGCAUCCAGAACAUUGUUUUAUUCCUCUCCUUUCCUCCUGUCUUUCUCCCCACGAGAUGAGAGACUGAUCCAGUGAGGGUUCCACGAGCUGUUACAAAGAAGUUUUGGGUAGGAGGAGAGGAUGAUGAUGAUGUCAGAGUUCAUCGUGCUGUGUUUACUGUUUGGAGCCACAGCACACGCCCAGGCCUUCCCAGAAUGCAACA